GAAUCGCUAGUAAUCGUAGAUCAGAAUGCUACGGUGAAUACGUUCCCGGGCCUUGUACACACCGCCCGUCACACCAUGGGAGUGGGUUGCAAAAGAAGUAGGUAGCUUAACCUUCGGGAGGGCGCUUACCACUUUGUGAUUCAUGACUGGGGUGAAGUCGUAACAAGGUAACCGUAGGGGAACCUGCGGUUGGAUCACCUCCUUACCUUAAAGAA
rnacentral:rRNA from 1 species